AAUAACUCCAUUUUUCACUUUUUUGAUAUAAUGUUUUGACUCUUCGUCUUAUUUGAAAUUUUUUACAAUUAAUAUUUUUAUCGUUACUAGAUGAUAAAAUAUGAAUGAUACUUUAUGCGUAACUAAUUUUUUUAUGUUUUUUACAAAAUUUUUAAAUAAGACGAAGUCAAACGUUUGGCUCGGAAAAACGAAAAAUGAAGUUAUU
rnacentral:pre_miRNA from 1 species